UUCAGUUACAUGCUUUCAGCUUUUCCAGGUCAUCUUCAAAUAAUGGGCAAAAGAGUCGGUGGGAAUACCAGAGAUAGAAAGUUAGGCGGGUCGGUGAGAAGCUGCCACUUUAAAAAAGGAAUGUGAGCUCAGUUGGGUGACCUCUAGUAAACCUUAAGGUUAAGCUUUUUUCCCGUGGAUUUUUUCUUUCCUAGCCUGUGGUAGUGAAGAGUGUAAGGUGUCCUAGUUAAUUUUAGGAUUUGUCUUUUAUGAGACAGAAGUGAAGUUCCGUUUUGAGUAGACUUUUCCUAAUUUCCCUUUGUAUGCUGACCUCCCUCUUGUUCUCCCACUUUUUGUAGAAUGGAGAAAGGCAUUUGGCCUCUCCCCUUCCUCCAGUCUGACACCUCCCUCUGUAUUUUUUUUUUUGGCCCCUCCUUCUUAUCUUUGUUUUCUUAUCGGCCUCUCCCUGAAGCUCUGCUUUCUCCUUAUAAGGCUGGCUAAGGUGCCUCUGGCAGGGUUGCAACAGGGAUACAGGUAAGUAGCUCAGUGUGUCUCAGACUCUCUGGAUUGAGAGAAAAUUCAGUGCUAUCUGUCCCGGUGGAAGGCCUUGGAGAGGCACGUGGUU
rnacentral:lncRNA from 1 species